AAAAAAACUCAUAAAUCGAAAAGUGUCAAACAAUAAAACUAAGAAAAAUAAAUAUAUUUCUAAUCCUAAUAUAAAUUCAAAAAAUAGAAUAAAUACAACAACAUAAAUAAAAACAAAAACAUACUAACCACAAAUCAAAUAAAAAGAUUGAUAUACACCUCCAACAUGAUAUUUAAGGAAUAAAAUCUGCUUAAACCCUC
rnacentral:lncRNA from 1 species